rnacentral:rRNA from 1 species
UACGGAGGAUCCAAGCGUUAUCCGGAUUCACUGGGUUUAAAGGGUGCGUAGGUGGGUUGGUAAGUCAGUGGUGAAAUCUCCGAGCUUAACUUGGAAACUGCCAUUGAUACUAUCAGUCUUGAAUAUUGUGGAGGUCAGCGGAAUAUGUCAUGUAGCGGUGAAAUGCUUAGAUAUGACAUAGAACACCAAUUGCGAAGGCAGCUGGCUACGCAUAUAUUGACACUGAGGCACGAAAGCGUGGGGAUCAAACAGG